AACGAACGCUGGCGGCAUGCCUAACACAUGCAAGUCGAACGAGACCUUCGGGUCUAGUGGCGCACGGGUGCGUAACGCGUGGGAACCUGCCUUUAGGUUCGGAAUAACUCAGAGAAAUUUGAGCUAAUACCGGAUGAUGUCUUCGGACCAAAGAUUUAUCGCCUUUAGAUGGGCCCGCGUUGGAUUAGCUAGUUGGUGGGGUAAAGGCCUACCAAGGCGACGAUCCAUAGCUGGUUUGAGAGGAUGAUCAGCCACACUGGGACUGAGACACGGCCCAGACUCCUACGGGAGGCAGCAGUGGGGAAUAUUGGACAAUGGGCGAAAGCCUGAUCCAGCAAUGCCGCGUGAGUGAUGAAGGCCUUAGGGUUGUAAAGCUCUUUUACCCGAGAUGAUAAUGACAGUAUCGGGAGAAUAAGCUCCGGCUAACUCCGUG
rnacentral:rRNA from 1 species